rnacentral:rRNA from 1 species
AUUGAACGCUGGCGGUAGGCUUAACACAUGCAGGUCGUGCGAGAAAGUAUCUUCGGAUAUGAUUAGAGCGGCGGACGGGUGAGUAACGCGUAGGAAUCUACCUAGUAGAAGGGGAUAGCCCGAGGAAACUCGGAUUAAUACCGUAUACCUCCUUCGGGAGAAAGAAGGCCUCUCUUUGAAGCUUUCGCUACUAGAUGAGCCUGCGUAAGAUUAGCUUGUUGGUGAGGUAAAGGCUCACCAAGGCGACGAUCUUUAGCGGGUCUGAGAGGACGAUCCGCCACAUUGGGACUGAGACACGGCCCAGACUCCUACGGGAGGCAGCAGUGGGGAAUAUUGGACAAUGGGCGCAAGCCUGAUCCAGCCAUACCGCGUGUGUGAAGAAGGCCUUAGGGUUGUAAAGCACUUUAAGUUGGGAAGAAAGGUUAUUGGCUAAUACCCAAUAACUGUGACAUUACCAUCAGAAUAAGGACCGGCUAAUUCCGUGCCAGCAGCCGCGGUAAUACGGAAGGUCCAAGCGUUAAUCGGAAUUACUGGGCGUAAAGCGCGCGUAGGUGGUUUAUUAAGUUGGAUGUGAAAUCCCCGGGCUCAACCUGGGAACUGCAUUCAAAACUGGUUCACUAGAGUACGAUAGAGGGAGGUAGAAUUCACAGUGUAGCGGUGGAAUGCGUAGAUAUUGUGAAGAAUACCAAUGGCGAAGGCAGCCUCCUGGAUCUGUACUGACACUGAGGUGCGAAAGCGUGGGUAGCGAACAGGAUUAGAUACCCUGGUAGUCCACGCCGUAAACGAUGUCAACUAGCUGUUGGAAAGCACUGCUUUUCAGUGGCGCAGCUAACGUAGUAAGUUGACCGCCUGGGGAGUACGGCCGCAAGGUUAAAACUCAAAUGAAUUGACGGGGACCCGCACAAGCGGUGGAGCAUGUGGUUUAAUUCGAUGCAACGCGAAAAACCUUACCUAUGCUUGACAUACUUGGAAUACUUUGUAAUGAAGUAGUGC